ACGGGAAAGGGCGGGGCCAGCCCGGGCGAGGGGGGCUGCAGGCGGUUGCCAUGGCGGCGGCGGACUGUGUGCUGAAGCUGGGGGGUAGCGCGCUGACGCACAAGGAGCGGCGCGAGAGCGCGCGGGACGAGGCGCUGCGCGGCGCCGCGCGGCUGGUGCGGGAGCUGCGCGCGGCCGGCGCCGGGCGCUGCAUAGUGGUGCACGGAGCCGGCUCUUUUGGGCAUUUUCAAGCGAAGGCACAUGGUCUGGCUUCGGGGUCACUGACGAACAGUGAACGUCUACGACAGGGGCUGUGCCUGACCAGGAUAUCUGUCACCAAGGUUCUGUCCCAUGAAUUCUCACCGAAGCGAGUGGUGUUUCUUACUGAUAUCGAUGGAAUCUAUGAUCGUCCACCUGAUACCCCAGGUGCCACACUGGUGGAUUCCAUUGCUGUCAAUGCUGAUGGAAGCAUAGAACCACCUGUGCUCACAUCUGUACUGCCACAUGAUGUAACUGGAGGGCUGGCCCUGAAGUUACAGACUGCAAUCAACAUAGUUACUCAGAGUAAUGGCUCCAUCCCUGUGCUGAUCUGUAAACUUGAAAGCGAAGUGGCCAAACAAGCCUGUUUAACUGGAGAGCUUAGAACAGCUAAGUUUCAACUACAAAGGCAUCUUGUGAGCAGCAGCUGUUUCUACAAAGCUGGGGAGAAGGGGAGCCGGGAAGAAGCAAUUAUACCAGCAAGUCAC
rnacentral:lncRNA from 1 species